rnacentral:rRNA from 1 species
UUGCGUGACGAUAGCGGAAGGGGUACACCUGUUCCCAUACCGAACACAGAAGUUAAGCCUUCCAGCGUCGAAAGUACUUGGCUGGUGACGGCCCGGGAGGAUAGAUCGCCGCGCAAU